rnacentral:rRNA from 1 species
GACGAACGCUGGCGGCGUGCUUAACACAUGCAAGUCGAAGGAAAGGCCCUGCUUUUGUGGGGUGCUCGAGUGGCGAACGGGUGAGUAACACGGGAGUAACCUGCCCUUGACUUUGGGAUAACUUCAGGAAACUGGGGCUAAUACCGGAUAGGAGCUCCUGCUGCAUGGGGGGGGUUGGAAAGUUUCGGCGGUUGGGGAUGGACUCGCGGCUUAUCAGCUUGUUGGUGGGGUAGUGGCUUACCAAGGCUUUGACGGGUAGCCGGCCUGAGAGGGUGACCGGCCACAUUGGGACUGAGAUACGGCCCAGACUCCUACGGGAGGCAGCAGUGGGGAAUAUUGCACAAUGGGCGGAAGCCUGAUGCAGCAACGCCGCGUGCGGGAUGACGGCCUUCGGGUUGUAAACCGCUUUCGCCUGUGACGAAGCGUGAGUGACGGUAAUGGGUAAAGAAGCACCGGCUAACUACGUG